rnacentral:rRNA from 1 species
CCCUUAGAUGUCCUGGGCUGCACGCGCGCUACACUGAUGUGUCCAGUAAGCACCUAACCUCUUCCGAAAGGAACGGGUAACCUUUGCAAAGCACAUCGUGAUGGGGAUAGAUUAUUGCAAUUAUUAGUCUUGAACGAGGAAUUCCUAGUAAGCACAAGUCAUCAGCUUGUGUUGAUUACGUCCCUGCCCUUUGUACACACCGCCCGUCGCUCCUACCGAUUGAAUGUUCCGGUGAGCUCUUCGGACUGCGCGGUCUGCAGUUUCUGCGUUCCGUGCGGAAAGUUGCGCAAACCCUAACAUUUAGAGGAAGGAGAAGUCGUAACA